rnacentral:tRNA from 1 species
UCCUCCUUAGCUCAGUUGGUUAGAGCAUCUGACUGUUAAUCAGAGGGCCGCUGGUUCAAGUCCAGCAGGAGGAGCAA